rnacentral:lncRNA from 1 species
AGAUGCUGGGGCAUGGACCACCGGCAGGGGAAAUGUGGACCCCAGCGCGCAUCUGCACUGUUUGUCUCUUGACUGUUUCCUGUCCUCUUUGCUGCUGAGUCACCCAUCGCCAAAUCCCAGCCUACUGUUGAAAACUGGCUUGAAAGGCAGGGGUUUAAUUAUUCCACAAGAUAGUCUCCCCGAACCAAAUCUCGUUAAUAAAAGAAGAGAAAUAAAUUUUAAUAAAGGACUUGCCGAGAUGCUUCUGCAGCAGCACAUACUGUCAAAAACUUUUCUCCCCCUUGAACAAAAAGGAUUUUUCUCAGCAGGGCAAAAUAAGUCAUAGCGUUUGGACAGAGACCUCAAGUGAGGGAUUUUUUCCUUCUGUUCUUAGAGAUAGUUAUGCUUGUUUUUCCUCCCACUUAAAGAUGGAGGUUAACCCAGCAGGCUGACAGUGUGUGUCUGAGGCAAUUCUUCUCACCGUGACCGUUGGUUUGUCAGAUUUAUUUGCAGCAGUAAUUUAUACCAGACAACUUAACACCAUUGCUGUUUCCUCCCCGGCAGUUCAGGGACAUUGAGAUGAAUCUUCAAAGGGCCAACAUAGCUCCAGAUGCUGGGCACUGUCCCAGACUUGGGCCAUUUGUCCCAUGUGGGCACCUACAGAAGCUGACAUUGCCCAAGCUCAAGCCACACCCAUCUGUCAGGGAACAGGUUGGCUGGUGCUUCUUGAAUUAGAGUUUGUAGAGUUUGAUUUGAGAGAAGUCUACAGUAUUUGGAGGAAAUGAUUUUUUUAAGAAGAGUCACAAAUCAUCUGUGCUGACUAGGCACUGGAUACCUGCCCAACAGGAGGUGCCAUUCAAAGCCCCACGAAAAUUCUUAAGCAGAACACAAUGAGCCAUUAAAUAGAAUAUUGAAGAUGAACAUUUAACCACAUGGAAAAGCAUUCACCAUAUAUGGUUAAAUGAAAAGCUCCCAAGUCCCAUGGGCAGGUUUGGUCUCCAUCGGCCAGGCCAGUCACUUAACUGAAGCUUACAACAGAUCCUUCAUAGGAUAAAAUAAGAUGAUAUCUUAGUCCAUCAUUUGAGGGGUCUAAUGCUACCACGGCUGAGGUGUUCACAAUUUCCCUUGGACUUUUCUUCAUGAGUGCAAAAUGGCUGCCAAAGCUCCAGACACCAUGGAGGAGUUAAAGAUAAGAGGGAAAUGGAAAGGAAUCCAUCUAAA